rnacentral:rRNA from 1 species
ACCCCCGUGAGAAUGCCCAACAGCUUCCUUUCUGGAAACGAGGAGCCGGUAUCAGGCACAACGAUGUUAGCCCACGACACCUAGCCAAGGCCACACCCCCAAGGGAAUUCAGCAGUGAUAAACAUUAAGCCAUGAGCGAAAGCUUGACUUAGUUAACGUUAAGAGGGUUGGUAAAUCUCGUGCCAGCCACCGCGGUUAUACGAGGAACCCAAGUAGAUGGCCUCCGGCGUAAAGCGUGGUUAAAAUGCUAGAAAAACUAAAGCCAAAUAUCCUCAUAACUGUUAUACGUUCAUGAGAGCAAGAAGCCCAACCACGAAAGUGGCUUUACACAUUUGACCCCACGAAAGCUAGGGCACAAACUGGGAUUAGAUACCCCACUAUGCCUAGCCAUAAACAUAGAUAACUAAGUACUUAUUUAUCCGCCCGGGAACUACGAGCGACAGCUUAAAACCCAAAGGACUUGGCGGUGCUUUAGAUCCACCUAGAGGAGCCUGUUCUGGAACCGAUAAUCCCCGUUAAACCUCACCUUUCCUUGUUCUUUUCC